rnacentral:rRNA from 1 species
GACGAACGCUGGCGGCGUGCUUAACACAUGCAAGUCGAGCGGUAAGGCCCUUCGGGUACGACGAGCGGCGAACGGGUAGGAGUAACACGUGGGUGGACCUGCCUCUAGCUCUGGGAGUAAGCCUGGGAAACGUGGGUCGUAAUACCGGAUAUGACUCCACGGCGCAUGUUGUGGGGUGGAAAGCCUUGUGUGGCUAGAGAUGGGCCCGCGGCC